UGCGCGAGCUACCAUGCAGUCGAGCGGCAGCACGGGAAGCUUGCUUCCUGGUGGCGAGCGGCGGACGGGUGAGUAAUGCAUAGGAAUCUGCCCGGUAGUGGGGGAUAACCUGGGGAAACCCAGGCUAAUACCGCAUACGUCCUACGGGAGAAAGCAGGGGCUCUUCGGACCUUGCGCUAUCGGAUGGACCUUAGUCGGGAUAAGCUGGUUGGGGAGGUAAUGGCUCACCAAGGCGGCGGAUCCGUAGGUGGUUUGAGAGGAUGAUCAGCCACAUCGGGGAUUGAGACACGGCCCCGAACUCCUACGGGAGGCAGCAGUGGGGAAUAUUGGACAAUGGGCGCAAGCCUGAUCCAGCCAUGCCGCGUGUGUGAAGAAGGCCCUCGGGUUGUAAAGCACUUUCAGUGGGGAAGAAAGCCUUCCUGGUUAAUACCCGUCAGGAAGGACAUCACCCACAGAAGAAGCACCGGCUAACUCCGUGCCAGCAGCCGCGGUAAUACGGAGGGUGCGAGCGUUAAUCGGAAUUACUGGGCGUAAAGCGCGCGUAGGUGGCUUGAUAAGCCGGUUGUGAAAGCCCCGGGCUCAACCUGGGAACGGCAUCCGGAACUGUCAGGCUAGAGUGCAGGAGAGGAAGGUAGAAUUCCCGGUGUAGCGGUGAAAUGCGUAGAGAUCGGGAGGAAUACCAGUGGCGAAGGCGGCCUUCUGGACUGACACUGACACUGAGGUGCGAAAGCGUGGGUAGCAAACAGGAUUAGAUACCCUGGUAGUCCACGCCGUAAACGAUGUCGACUAGCCGUUGGGUCCUUCGCGGACUUUGUGGCGCAGUUAACGCGAUAAGUCGACCGCCUGGGGAGUACGGCCGCAAGGUUAAAACUCAAAUGAAUUGACGGGGGCCCGCACAAGCGGUGGAGCAUGUGGUUUAAUUCGAUGCAACGCGAAGAACCUUACCUACCCUUGACAUCCUGCGAACCCUUCGGAGACGAAGGGGUGCCUUCGGGAACGCAGAGACAGGUGCUGCAUGGCUGUCGUCAGCUCGUGUUGUGAAAUGUUGGGUUAAGUCCCGUAACGAGCGCAACCCUUGUCCCUAUUUGCCAGCGAUUCGGUCGGGAACUCUAGGGAGACUGCCGGUGACAAACCGGAGGAAGGUGGGGACGACGUCAAGUCAUCAUGGCCCUUACGGGUAGGGCUACACACGUGCUACAAUGGUCAGUACAAAGGGUUGCGAACUUGCGAGAGUGAGCCAAUCCCAGAAAGCUGAUCUCAGUCCGGAUCGGAGUCUGCAACUCGACUCCGUGAAGUCGGAAUCGCUAGUAAUCGUGAAUCAGAAUGUCACGGUGAAUACGUUCCCGGGCCUUGUACACACCGCCCGUCACACCAUGGGAGUGGACUGCACCAGAAGUGGUUAGCCUAACCUUCGGGAGGGCGAUCACCACGUGUGUAU
rnacentral:rRNA from 1 species